rnacentral:rRNA from 1 species
AAAACAUGUCUUUUUGAUAAAAAUUUAAAGUCAGGUCUGCUCACUGAAUAAUUUUAAAGAGCCGCAGUAUACUGACUGUGCAAAGGUAGCAUAAUCAAUAGUUUUUUAAUUGAAAACUGGAAUGAAAGAUUAGACGAAAAAUUAAUUUUCUUUAUUUUAAUAAAUUUAAUUUUAAAUUUAAGUGAAAAUGCUUAAAUAUAAUUAAAAGACGAGAAGACCCUAUAGAUUUUUAUUAUUGAAAUAAAUUUAUAAAUGUGAUUUAAUAAAAUAAUUUAAUUGGGGUGAUUUUAUAAUAUAAAUAACUUAAUUUCUUGAAACCAUAAAUAAUUGAAUUUUUGAUCUAAAAUUUUUAAAGAAAAGAUUAAAUUACCUUAGGGAUAACAGCGUAAUUUUAUUUAAGAGUUCGUAUCUAUAAUAAAGUUUGCGACCUCGAUGUUGAAUUAAGAUAAUAUAUUGGAGUAGAAAUUAAUAUAAUUAGUCUGUUCGACUAUUAAAUUCUUAC